UGAUGUGAGGGUGAUCUGGCUAUGACAUGUCACCCCAUUGAUCGUCAGGGUUGAUUCUGCUGAUCUGGCUGGUGGUGAUGCCUUCCUCCCUCAGUGCUCCAUGCUUGUACCUCCUGAAGCUUCAUGCUUGGUCCCGGAGGAGGACCACUCCUGAUAGACAAGGGUCAUUCCUCGGUCAAGGGUAUACAAGUAGGUGAGUUCCCUGCUAGAAUCUCCAAACAAGCUCUCACAAGUUAAAAAAAGAACAAAACAAAACAUGGCAUCACAGAACUUUGUCAAGCUAUAGUGUGGAUAAGAAUAUUUCUUAUAUUAUUACUA
ensembl:misc_RNA 7SK 7SK RNA